rnacentral:rRNA from 1 species
UACGAAGGGGGCUAGCGUUGCUCGGAAUCACUGGGCGUAAAGGGUGCGUAGGCAGGUCUUUAAGUCAGGGGUGAAAUCCUGGAGCUCAACUCCAGAACUGCCUUUGAUACUGAAGAUCUUGAGUUCGGGAGAGGUGAGUGGAACUGCGAGUGUAGAGGUGAAAUUCGUAGAUAUUCGCAAGAACACCAGUGGCGAAGGCGGCUCACUGGCCCGAUACUGACGCUGAGGCACGAAAGCGUGGGGAGCAAACGGG